GACGAACCGUACGAACGUUAUUCGGAAUCACUGGGCUUAAAGGGUGCGUAGGCUGCGCAGAAAGUUGGGUGUGAAAUCCCUCGGCUCAACCGAGGAACUGCGCCCAAAACUACUGUGCUCGAGGGAGACAGAGGUGAGCGGAACUUAGGGUGGAGCGGUGAAAUGCGUUGAUAUCCUAAGGAACACCGGUGGCGAAAGCGGCUCACUGGGUCUCUUCUGACGCUGAGGCACGAAAGCUAGGGUAGCGAACGGGG
rnacentral:rRNA from 1 species